ACUUUCUGACGUUGCCAUAUUAAUUUUUCAUCGAGACAUUUACUAUUUAUUUUUCAUAUAUCCUCUUAAUUUGAUCUGUCGUUAGAUAUCACAUAUUCGUCACAGCAGAGACACACACACACGCGUGCACGUAUACUGAAAUGCAAUAUUUAAGUUUUUAAUUGAUCACGUGGACAAAUUAAAAUUUUCAUAAAUAUCUAUAUAGAGGAUCAUAAAACGCGAAAUAACGUCUUCGUGGCAGUAACAAGUUCAUUAAAUUCAACUGCGCAUGCGAGAAGGAAAUUAUUCAAGCUCCAUUAGAGCCAAUGAGAAAAAUAGUUCGUUCAUUUCAACAUAUUCUUACCUAUUUCAUAUUUUGUUAGCUUCGUUAAUUGUCCUUUAACAUAUUGAUUAAUAUAUUUAUUUAUAAAUAGUAUAUAAAAAGUAGAAAAUAAUUGGUUUUUCCUUCUUUUUUGUUCUUUUUCCUUUUUUUUUUCUCCCCAAAAUUGUACAAUUAAAUAUUUUUCGUAUCGUAUAAAGUUAAUAUUAAGGUUAGUCUUCGAUCAGCCAAUCAACAACGUCUUCCUCGCGCAUUAAUACCAAUUACAUACUUUCUCGAACUAUUUUCACUUUGAUGAUUUAUAUUAUAAGAAAAAGAAAAUUUAUCACAAUAAACUUUUAUACCAUCUCUUAAUUACCCUUAUUAUUAACAAUAGCAAAGAAAUAUUACACGUAUUAUUACUUUUGAUAUUAAUUAUCGUCGAAAAUGAUUCAUUAUAGAAAAGUAUUAAUGAAACGUUGGUAUUAGAUCGUUGGGCGCAUGCGUGCGCGCUCGUCUUUUGUUUCGGCUUCCCGCCGUUCGUUGUUGCCGUGCAAUUCAUCAAGCGGGACAAUGUACUCGACAAGUUUAACAAAUUUACAAAUGAUUAUCUCAUUUUUGUAUUGUUUUCUCUUUUCGGAAUUAUAAAUAUGAUUGAACUAUUGUCAGAGACGUUGAUUUAUCUGUAUUCAUAUGUUAUAUUCUAAUUUACGUGUAAUCCAAUGAUCAUUAUUGUUGCUGUUUCGUUCUUCAGAAUCUAAUUCGAGAAAUUUUCCAUUCAACGUUUAAAAAAUAUUCAGAAAAAAAAAAUAAAAAAGCUUACCACUUGAAAUCAGGGAUGGCGAUAGCAGAUUCGAGACCCUACGAUCAAAUAUCUUUUACAUCGAAAAUUUUUAAUCAAAGAAUUAGAUCGAAGAUAAGAUAAUAUAACGAAAGACCCUAAUGAGGAACGAGAUGGCAUAGAUAGAAAUGAAUGCAGUUUUAAACGGAAACCAUUGGACCAUGUCAAUAUCGUUAUAGAUAUAACUGUGAAACCUCUUGGGACAGUUAGAAUAGAGUAAAUUAAUUGCCGUCGUCGUCGUUGUUGUAUGCGUCGUCGUCAUCGUCAUCCUCGUCGUUUGCGUUCUCGGUGCCAGAAUGUCUUCAAUCUUUGAAAUGCUUCUGUGUGUUAGCAGUAUGGAAGAGGUAUAUUACAAACACUGCUUGUUCUGACAGAAGCAAGAUUAAUCAACGAUACCAACGAUCCGGUUGUUCCGAGUUGAGCAAGAAUUCAAUUCGACUCGUCUCGUCUUUGUCAUUGUCUCUUUCUCUUUCUCCCUCUCUUUCUCUUUCUCUUUCUCCCUCUCUUUCUCUUUCUCUUCCUUUUCUUCUUCCUCAACCUCUACUCACUCACUUCCUCUCUCUCCCUCUCUCUCUCUCUCUCUCUCGUUUACACCUCGCAUUCACACGCAAGAGAGAUAACUCUUCCCACUAACCUUCUAUUUUCUCCUCGACGAAUCCUUUACGAGCUACCGACGAAUUUACUCAGAACUAUCCAACAAUGGCACGCAAAAUUCAAAUUGCUUUGGAGCAAUUUGUUCGGAGUAAAUACAUGAUUGAACGAGUAAGAAGGAGAUUCGUGAAUAAGAAUAUUCAGAGAAUAAUGGUGAACAAAGAAUGCGUUUGCUUAACGAUGUGGCUUUAGUAGACGAAUUUCUGGUUAAAUAUAUGAAUAAGGGAGAGAGAUUAGUUUCAUGAAAUAUCGUAUGUAAUUUCGACUAGAAAGAUGUCCUUGGUAAGCCUGCCACUUCGUGUUACAACUUAAUGAGAUCUCUCCAAAGGAAGCACCUGUCCUUUUCAUUUCGCGACAAUGUAUAUAUAUGAAUAUACAUAUCUAUAUACAUGGACGAUGCCAUUACGAGGAUGAGAAGAAAGUAGAGAAUAACGAGCAACUUUUUCCACCACACAUACAACGUCAGGAAAUUACUAUAGUAUUAUUAUUAUGAUUUUGAAAGCAUGUAGAAAAUUUAUGAAACUAUUUCGUACGAUAGGUAGAUGUAUCAAAGGACAAACGAAUUUUCUCGUAACUCUUUAAUCGACAUUUUGAUUAUCGAUUCCCGCGUUAUCUCUCUUAAUGAUCGUUAGUCAACGUGUACGUACAUAUGUACGUUGAUCGAUCGAAGUAACGAAGCAUGGCAUUUAGAGUUCGUUAAAAUUUAACGAUUCCAAUGUGUGGAAUGAUAGGGAACUUUCAUAAGUCAUUUUUCAUAGCUCGUUUUACUUUAUGUUGACGAGGACAUUUUGUCUAGCUAUAAUAAACGCUGUAAUAAAUAAUACUUUUGAUUAUUUUAUAAUUAUUCAAAUAAUCUAUAAGUACACGGAAUAUACUAAACUACCAUUUCAAUAAUACUACAAUCUAAUAUUACAUUCGCGUAAUAUUAGAUAUCUCGUAACACAUUACAUAUUACAUAUAAUAUUACAUAUAAAUUAAUUUUAGUAUAAUUUAUCCUAUUUGAUGAGUAAUGAUUGUUAAUUGUUUCUUAAAUAAAACUAUAGAAAAAAUUGCAAAAUGAAACAAAUUACUCUCGAACAAUGAGAAAUUAGAAUUGCGAAAUAACAGCAUGACGGGGUAAAGGAGUAAGGGAAAAGUAAGAUUAUAUCGUUUGUGAUUAUGAAGUACUCUGAAACUUUUGCAAUAUCUGCCUUACAAACCAGCUUCUUAGAAUAUUGUCCUAUGUUAGUUUGUAACUUUUUCUUUCUUUCUUCCUUUCUUUCUUUUUUCCUGCACUUUUCCUUUUUCUUUUUCCUUUUUAAUAACUUCUUCUUU